UUACAAGGGCUCCAUGCUCGUGACCCCCUGAGAUGUUAAAUAACUUGCCCACGCUUGGGAUCCAGCUGCAGACAACUCGGCUCCAGAGGUCAGUCUGAGCUAGAGGCACACUCUUCUCUUCUGUGAAAUGGGUCCAAUGAUCCCUACUCUGAUACCCCGAAGGACUUUGGCCUUGAAGUGAAAUCAACAAGCAAGAAACUGAUCAGAAAGGAGAAAGCAGAGGUAUGAUGCAGGCACAAAGAACCAGGAUGUGUGCUGGUACAGAGGGAGUGCCCGCCUGAGCAAAAAGAGGGCAAGAAGAAAGACGUGGAAGGCAGACCUCAGUAGGAUUCCAGGCUUUGGGUUCCUGCCAGCUGCUGUCACCUUAAGCUGGGGAGCCCCUCACCUCACCUCACCUCACCUCGCCCGAUUCCUGGGAAGGCAGACCCAGGGGCAUCAGCUGGUGGACAAGGACACUGGCUGUCCUGUCUGCAGUGCUCGUGACAGCCAAAUCCUUCAGUGGGAAUGAGGCAUCUCCCAGUCCAUCUGAGCCAAGGUACCGCAGAAAUUCAAGCCCGUGGCCUCUCUGUUGAUGAGAGCGGUGGCGCUAUGACAACGUCCUGCUGACGUCCACGGCGCUGCUUCCGCCCAGCCCAUUGGAGUGGAUGCUCCCCCAGAAGUGUGGAAGCCAGAGCAUCAUGACAAGUUUCCUGCAAUAUGAGAUGACUCAGUGAUGGAAUUUCUGGCAGCCCGACAACCUCCUCCACACAGAAAGGAGGCUUCACAAGGAUGACUCAUAGUCAGCAUAUGGGAGAUGAAGGAGGAACUGAGUCUGAGCUGUGGUCACUCUUCUUAGAGGUCCAAGCCUCUCUGGACAUAACGCAGCCAGACUGUGUGAGACAAAGGCACUCACUCCACGCUCCGCCGUGAGCAGCCCACCCUUUCCUUGGGGUGAGCGGCGUGGAGAGAGGAGGGGAAUCAGAAGCCAGGCAAAGAAAGAAAAGCAAGAAUGUGGAACACAGGGAAUGGGUUCAGGCCCCACUCCCUGCAUGGCUGGCCAGCGCUUUCCUAGGCGUGACUGCAGCCCGAACAGUGGGUGCAGCUAGCCUUGGUCCCCCAGGCUGACAGUCCUGCGUCAUGUGACCAGAAGAAUCCAGUGCCCCCCUCUAUUCCCAGUGAGAAGCCACGUCCCUGCAUGGCCCCCACGGAGCAGGGAGGAGCCCCCUCCCCCUGAGACUGGCAGCCAGAAACCAGCUCAGGCCAGUUCUGCACAGUUGGGAAAACUGAGGCCUGCUGAGGGAGGGAGGCUGAGACACAGUGGAGACCCAGCCCUCCUCGCCUCCUUUUGGCCCAGACCACGGGGCCACACUGCCUGCCUGGAUCCCAGGGCGCUGGAGGGCCAUGCCGCUGGCUUCAGAUCCUCUGGCUCUGGCUCUUGCCAGCUUUGUGACUCCUAGAAAGUUACUUAACCCUUCUUUGUCUCUCUGCCAUCACCUGGGUAGGGAGCAGAAGUGCUUUCUUUGGAGGUGUCUGAAGAACUUAAAUAUGACAUAAACAAUCUGCUCCUUUUCCCCUCCUUUUCCUGACUUCCCAUCUUAUCCCAUCUGUUCUUCUUUCCUUCCUCAAAGCUGCCGAAAGCUCCGUCACGCUCAUGCGUCAAGGAUCAAUGAUCCUUGAGCAUCAUACCCUCCCCGUGAGACACCUCCCUGCUCCGUCUAAUCAUAAGACCCUUGGCUGUUUCAUCUGAUGGGGAGUCAGAGGCCGGAAAUAUGCAAGGCAAAGCCUCCGAAUCUUCAAGGAAGCCCCAGGGCUUCAUUCCCUAAGAGGAGGGAGAGAGGCGCCUGCAGGCCCCUGGUCCAAAGCUUCUGAUGUUGUAUAGCGUGAAAAAUUAAUGUUUCUGGUUUUGCAAGUUUUGUUUCUUGCUUUUUACCUUCCAAAUCAAGCAUAGCUUAUAGGAACCAAAGCAAUCUGAAAAGAGCAGAGAGAAACGAAGACAGAAUCAGAAAAUCACAGAGGCUGGGCGCUCUUAGGGAGGGGACCCAAGGUGCUAGGCUCCAAGGACUUGCCUGCUGCUUGGCUAAACAGCUUGGCAGACUGUGCUCCUAAGGGGGCUGGUCUGGCUGCUGUGGGCCCCGCAGUGCUAAGGUUGACGGUCAACCUGAUGGCUGUGGUGGGUGUCAGAAGCCAGAGGCAGCACCCCAGCAGGUGAGGGGCCGGGUUGACAAGGGGGUGGAACCAGAAGAGUAGCAGGAGCCGGGCCUGCUGUCCAAGGAAGGCUCCCACAGUCACAUAGGGGGGCUAUCACGUUUCUUUCAGCAAUUCUGUCUGUCGGAGAAGCCAGAUCAGAAAACACAGAAGGGGACACCCUCUGGAUGCAGGCUACUGUCCUGCCCAGCUAUAUCUUUUGAGACUUGAUAACCUAUGGAAUCCAAUUCUGAGCAUUCACUGGAAGGACUGAUGCUGAAGCUGAAGCUCCAACCCUUUCGGCAUCUGAUGCGAAGAGCCAACUCACUGGAAAAGACCCUGAUGCUGAGGAAUAUUGAAGACAAAAGGAGAA